rnacentral:rRNA from 1 species
UACGGAGGGUGCAAGCGUUGUUCGGAAUGACUGGGCGUAAAGCGCACGUAGGCGGGUCUGUAAGUCAGCUGUGAAAGCCCAGGGCUUAACCUUGGAUGUGCGGUUGAAACUACAGAUCUUGAAUACCCGAGAGGGUGGCGGAAUUCCGGGUGUAGAAGUGAAAUUCGUAGAUAUCCGGAGGAACACCAGAGGCGAAGGCGGCCAUCUGGCGGUGUAUUGACGCUGAGGUGCGAAAGCGUGGGGAGCAAAC